rnacentral:lncRNA from 1 species
AUGACCAUGGGGCCUUCUGCAAGACCAAGGCCGCUUCACGGUGCAAAGCCACAGGUGCCUUUUAGGCCCUUGGUCUGUGCCUUUUCUGGCAUUUCUAAGACUGCCCAGCGACGGGGCUGGAAUUGGGGGAAAAGCUCAUUUUCAAAACGCCUCCGAUCCUCUUCUCCGGAGAGCGGUGCCAGUGUGCGGGCACCCCCUGUCCACACAGCUUUGGGGACUGGGUUAGAACCACAGGAAAACCUAGAAAGGAAGACACAGAUGGGCCUGGCCGCCUCUCCCCGUGGCUGCUCGGCCAGGGCAGGCUGCACAGGAGCAAGCCUCUGUACAAUAAGGCGAAGGCCCUGCAGACCCCAGAACCACCGGAGCUGCAACAGCUGCAGGAGGCGGGCUGCUCGGCCUCACGCCCCUGCCUGUGGGGCCCGGGGAGCAGCACGGGGCUGUGAGCUGAGCAGUCGGCAGUGCCCCAGGCGCCACGCACUGUGAGUACGGGAGACAGGGCCACUGCACACGGGCACAGGCGCACGGGGCAUCACAGGUGCAUUUUCUGACAGUGCACUCGGCUCGUCUGUCGUCUGCAGUGGCCAGCUUCACCACCCCAUCUUGCAGAUGGAAAAGGUGAGUCCCGAGAGCAAGCAGCGACCUCUGGGCUGGUCAGGGGCCGAGCCGGGGAGGCAGGACUGGGCUCAAGUGGUUUCCACUACAGCACAGCACCUCCUGAAAGGCAGACAUGGACCUGUUCCCAGGAGUCCCUGAGUCUCGCGGGUGAUAACCUGGAGCAGUGCUGAUCGGGGAGCAGAUGGGCUGGCGGGGCUCAGGGCGGGUCCCGAGGAGCACAAUUCCUGGGGCUCUGCAGCUGUGUCGCCCUAUAAAGUGGAGCACACGUGUGCACAUGUGUGUGCACACACCUGCAUGCAUGCAUAUGUGUGUGCACGUAUGCCCCUUCCCCCCAAAGGUACCAUGAGUCACCUAAAAGUGUCAUUCCGAGUGGAAAGAACGCAACGGAGAGACAGGCGCCCAGCACC